rnacentral:rRNA from 1 species
AACGGCCAUACCAUGCUGAAUAUACCGGUUCUCGUUAGAUCACCGAAGUCAAGCAUCAUUGGGCGCGGUCAGUACUUGGGUGGGUGACCACCUGGGAACACCGAGUGCCGUU